AUGGUAGAGCCCUGAGAGAUUCAAUGGAACAGGUAAAAAAGAAGCAAGAACAUGAGAAAUACUGUCUGUGAUACAUUUGUCCUUGCCACAUUUCUCAAAACAGAUCUGUGUACACAAAGAAAACUGUCUUGGCAGCAAGGCAAAAUGACCGGUGGGUAGCACAGCUUCAGGAAUUAGAAAGGAAGUCCAGUGACUUGGUCUCACUGAGGUAACUUAUAGCUUCUGGAAGUACAUUUUAUACCUGGUUCUUAUUACUUGUGGUAAAGACUUAAAAAUCUGGCAGAAGACUGAGUGUCCUCGAUAUCUUACUCUCUUGGUGCUGAACAAUAUAUCUGUCUAUAAAAAGGUUGCUGACUUUUCUCUUCUAGUGGGGAGGAGGAAAAAAUACAUGUGGAAAAGAGGUGACUCACUCUAAAAAAAUUAUUGGUUCAUAUUUGCACAGCUUAUUAGCUUGUAUUUGCACAGUGCUGCAGUCAGCCAUCUCUGUAGGCUCAGGAGAUCUAAAUAAUGUGUCCUGGCAAUAUUCUCAACUGAAAAGUGAGGGAUUUCCAUUUGAAGUGCUUGCAACUUAUUUGCUUCAUUUUAAUGAGUUUGGUCAUUCUUUGUGGUUUUGCCCUCCUCCUUUCUAGGUAUGUGUUUGGGAUGCACUUACAGGGCAACUUGUCCCUUCUUUGUCCUGACCCUCCAACGUGCUGCCUCUCCAUUUGACAUGGUGAGCAGUGACUCUGACAUUGCCCCGAUGCAGCUGGAUGUCCCACUGGAGUACACCACUGCUGUGAGACCGCUGUUUCUGCCCAACAGCCCUGUGUCUUCCUCUUCCCUCUGCAUUGCAUCUGGAUGGAAGAUCACUGAAGAAGAAAAAUCCCAAGGAGAUGAGUUCAGAGCUGUUGCAAUAUAAGGAUGCCACCCUUACAGACCGGGAAGGAAAGAUGGGAUAUCCUGGUGACGGCAUGAGAUGCAGAAGCACCACCAGCAGCUGCCACUGGAGAGUUAUAGCCCCAUUAAAACCCAUUAUUUGAGUUGAAGUCCUGGACUUAUGAACUGAAAGAAAUCUCUCUAAUUGUCAUGACCAGCUGAUGGUGUAUGAAGGAUUUGGACUAACCAAAGAGUUAAUAUGUGAGAGAGCACUUACCUUAAUGCUGGGUGCCCAGGAUAUAAACCGAAGGCUAUUAGACACUAUAAUUAAGGAUGCAAGGAUCUGCAUUUGGAAUUUAGUGUUUACGAUGGACCACAUCUCUCUCAGGCAAGAGUCAAGCGGCAGCAGGCUUCCCAAGAGACAUGAAGAGAAGGUUUGUCAUCAAGGGCCUCUUAGGUGGAAGAGACCUGCACGCAGUCCAUCCUGACUUCCAUCAUCAUGGAUAUGUGGGAGGAUACUUACAUCAGUUCAUUUUUUACACCCUUUUUCUUCUUGCUACUCAUCUCGCUGUCUGAAAUGCAGUUUGAGCAGGUACUGCUGUGAGUACCAAAGCUGCCUUGUGCCAUAAAGAUAACAGGAUCUUUGGUUACAGAAGUGUUUACUGAAAUGGCUUUUCUUGUUCUCCCACUGCCUCCAUCCUUUCUCCUCCCACAUACGUAGACAUUUAGAGAGCUGUUUGUUGAAGUAAUCUCACUGGAGUAUGAGAUACACAUUCAUACAGAGCGUGGGAGCAAUUUGGCCGUUGCAGUAGGCUCCACUUCUAUAUUCUGGGUAGGAAGUGAUGUUGCAUAGGCAACUGGAGACACACCUCUUGAAAGAUCUCAGAGCCCUCUCAGCAUCCCUAGCAUCUUCAAGUAUCAAGUGUUUUAGAUUAAAAAUACGUCACUGGAAAUAAUAAGUAUAGGUGCUGAGUGUCAAAUUGUACUUGGCAAUGACUACAACUACAGUAUUUUAUUUUCAGCAAACUUAUGUGGCCAGAAAAAAAUCUUUUAGUAUGUUCUCUAGUAGCAGCUCCUCAUCCUUCAUUUCAAAACUGAUAAAUCUGUGGGAUAACGAGGCUUCAAAAUCCUUCUUGAGGGGCUGUAUCAGCAGCCAACACAAAGUGAGAUGGAAGGCAGCAGCCAAUGUAAGUAAUGAUCUGGAUCUUUCCCUGUCUGCUUUGCAAAGAAGACCUAUUGCUAAAGUAGUAUUGAAGAUUACAGGCAGGUAAAAUUGUAAUUUUUUCUGCUUUUCCCCUAAAGCUAUUGCCCUAAGAUAGUGUCAGGAUAGUCUUCUCUGCUCUCAUGUAUCUAAAACUAUAGCAAGUUAAUUCACUGCUCACUCCAAGCACUUCUCAUUAAGCAGUAGACCACGUAUCUCUGCAGUUCUCACCAUCACUAAGCCAAAUAUAGAAACGUUCCUGAGGGAUGACUGUUGCUCUAAGCAAAAGCCUAACCAAAAAACUAGUUUAAGAUAAAUGUAUGUCGGGAAGAACAAUUGGUCUCACCAUGUAAAUGACCUCUGAUUAAUUAAUAACUAUUUUCUGGAACUGGACGCUUAUAAACAGGAAGCAGAAAGCCAAACAGUUCAGUCUAUCUAUGCUAACAUUUGCUUGAGAGCUUGGCUCCUAUUACUAGAGAGUCAUGCCUUUUCCUGGGGCACAGAAAAAGGAUAAAAGGAGCCAGUUAUAAAAAGUUUAGCUCUCAUCACAUGAUCCAGAAGCCCCGCUGUGAAUGAAAGGGAAAUAGGGGAUGUGUCAUACAUCAGCCCUUAAAGUUCUCAAUAGGUUUCUCCAAGCCAGCUCUAACAAUUUCAAGUAUUUCAUGGACUUCUUUUGUUAAGCAUUUUUUUUGUUGCCUCAUCCUCUGUAAUACUGACAUCUGAGGAAAGUAAAUACUGCUCACUUGCAGUUUUCUUUCUCAUGCUAACACUUCUUGUGAGCAGUGAAAGCUGAUGAUGGUCGUAUUGCAGUUAUUUAUGCCCUGUUUAAUUUGCUCUUACUGGAGCUGGUUGAGAACACCAAACAAACUAAUUUUGGAAAAUGGAAACUUAGUAUUAGGGAACUGAGUCAAAAAUAACAGCUUUGACAUAAAAUUAAUAAAUAAAUCAAAGAAUGCUUCUUACCUGAGAAAUGCCACUUUCUGAAAAGCAUGUAGGAGAACACCACUUAUACACAACUUAGUGCCCAGCCUCUAUGCAUCUAAGAUGUCAAGAUUCACGUCCUUCCUAAAUUGGUAUUAGCUCAUGUCCUUAUUUUUUAGUACAGAAUAUAUGGAUAUCUGCUGUUCUUUUGAAGAAAAAAAUGCUUCCAACUCUCUAAUGCAGACAUGUCAAUCCCACCAGAGAUUCAGAAAAAAUAAAUGCUAACAGUAUGGAAAUAACUCUGAAGAAUGCACAUUUCCAGUAGUGGAUCCAUUCCGUAUGCUGGAGCCUGAAAUGAGUGCAGAACUGGGGAAGCCAUGUGGGAAGUCUGAGUGCAACUGAGCAGCCCUGAUGUCCUGGACCUGGCUGACCAACUUGUAGUACAAGGGCCAGCAGUUCUAUGGAGGCUUUCUGACUGACGGAAAAAUGAGUUCUGACAGCUGCACACUGCAAAAUCAGGUGGGUAAUGUCCUCUCACCCCAGAACACUGAGGGCUUGUUGGCAUGAAGAACUGGACAAUCUCUAAGCUAUCUUGUCAGUCCUGGCAAACAAUAGGUAAGCUUGGUGUUCCCCACAUGUCUACAUACAACCAGAGCUUUCCAACAGUAGCAUGUUGCCAGUGUGGGCAGUGGUGUCGGUAAGAUAGGUUUUGGUGUGUACCUGGUAAUUCAUGUGCAGGCAGUCAUAGAAGAGCUUGUUGUCUGCCUGCCAAAGCUGCUGGCACGUUGGUGCCUGUGGCUUCUACUAUGUCCUUAAUAGCCCUUGUAAAGCUGUGGCACCACAUGAUAUUGCUAGAUCUUCAACUUCGUUAUACUUUGACACCCGUGGUGUCUUGGUCUUGAAUGUUUCAUUUGAGCUAUAAUACAGCCCAAAUCUGUAGCUUUGAUAUAAGUUCAGUCCACUUUGUUUUCUGAUUCCUGAGAAGAUGAGUGACUGACCCACUUCUGGAUUCUGUGUUAAUCAUAACAGCAGCAAACCUUUGGAGAUGGAAGUCUAGGUUCUGUCAGCACAGAAAGCAGUGGAACCCCAACUGGGACUCCCCAAACUGUCCCCAUGAUGGAAGGUUCUAAGUCCUGGAACAUGAACAUUGCUGGCAGCGAAUGUUACUUGUGAUCUUUGGGCUCCCCCUGAGAAACCAUGGAGUACUUUAGACUGAAAAGGAUUUUCAUUUUCCUUACUCAGUGCUCAGAACAGGGUAGUCCUGGGAGAGAUAUGCUUGUUGCCAAACGUGAAGGGUAACAACUGCAUGCUUGUGAAAGCUGUGCAUGUGUACUAUGUCUUAAGUGGGUUUCCUUCCAGAAACAACCAGAAACAUCUGGCACUCCUGAAGCUGCAAAAACUUAUCAUUUACCAGGUAAAUGGGCAGCUAGCCUUUGGGACAGUUUGCUUCCUAUCUGACUAAAAUGCAGCAUAAGGAUUAGGAAUGCUUCUGCUAUUCUCCACAGGUUUUGAAACAAGCUCUUCUGAGCAGGCUUCCCUGUGACUUUAGGGUGUAAGUGUAAGCUGUAUGUGGUCAGGAGAAUAGCAAUGACCAUCUAUUCUAUGUGUCUCAGUUGUACUAUGAUCAUCCAAACUAAUGAGCCAAAAUUAAGCAGACAUGUCCCAAGGGAGCAGUUCUACAGCCCACCACUGCUGUCCAUGUGCACAGCGCUAAUGAUACGCACCUCUGCACUGGUAGCAAAGUAAGGUAGCAAAGGCUGGGAUUUGAAGGAAAAAAAUUCUAUUUUGCCUAAAAUGCCCAGAUUCUUGUUUAAGGAAUAUCUUGUUGCAGUAUAGAACUUAGGUUUUAUACACCUAAAUGCAGUGCUUGGAUAGAGCUGAGAGGUUAUUUUUCUGGCUAAUAUAUGUAGCUCAGAGCAGGACUUAGGGGAAAGAAAAUGGGAAGAGCGAUAAGCAGUGAAGGAAUGAGAUCUAGACAGAGAUGGGGCAUGAAAACAGAGCACUGAAUAAGGAGGAUAAAUGGAUCUCACUGUACCAUGGUGAGAGUAGCCACAAAGAAAGAAAAUCACAGUCUUCCUAAGAACUGCUUAACUACAUGAAUGAGUAAUGGGAUUUCUGCCCUCAAGAAGAGAAAUCCUGGGUCAAACCAGCCUGAGGUAAAGCAGCUGCCUGGCUCCCUGACUCUUUGCAGGGUUUACCUCUCGCCUUCCCAGAAACUGCCUUCAAAAAAUGUUCGGUCUGAGUGUGCUGUGGCCUCAGACAGCAGUACUGAUAAAAAGGCAGACUCGACUCAUUAAAACAGCGCUCUCAGGCAUUCGGCAUGUACAGUGAGGGAACACAUGCAUUAUUAAAGCCCUGCUUUGCAGUUAUGGGAUACUGUAGGGAAAGGGGGAUGAAGCAAUGAGUUAAGAGACAAGAAAAGCAGGGGGAUGACUGAGGUAAGAGCAAGGAAUCUGCUCUUGGCGCUGGCAGGAACUUGCUUUCCAGCACAGUGGCUCGCUUACAGGCAGUGAGAGGAAAGCAGGCACUAAUGCAUGGUGCUGAGCAGCAGGACAGUGAGAUGGGAGCUGGCAGUAAGUGUGCCUUGCUUUGACAUGGAAGAGCGCCUACGGCCCAUCAAGGGCACUGACAGUUCAGAGUGGGGGCAACACCAGAGAAAAUCCCCCACAUCUCCUCCCCAGAUGUUGCCUACAGCAUGUGAAACAUUUUUCUAGGUAGGAGCUAGGCUGCUUUCUCUGUCAGAGAUCAGCAGCUUCCAGAAAGUCAAAGCCAAAGUAGCUUUAAUAGAGCUAAUGAGAGGAUGAGCAGAAAUGGCCUCAAGUUGUGCCAGGGGAGGUUCAGGUUGGAUAUUGGAAAAAAUUUCUUCUCUGAAAGAGCUAUCAGGCACUGGAAUGGGCUGCCCAGGGAGGUGAUUGAGUCACUGUCCAUGGAGGUGUUCAAGAAGCCUUUAGAUGUGGUACAAAGGGAGAUGGUUUGCGAGGAAAUAUUGAUGGUAGGUG